GAGAGUUUGAUCCUGGCUCAGGAUGAACGCUGGCGGCAUGUCUUAGGCAUGCAAGUCGAACGUGGCCGCAAGGCCAAGUGGCAAACGGGUGAGUAACACACUGGUAACCUACCCUUUACUGGGGAAUAACCUGCCGAAAGGCGGGCUAAUACCGCAUACGUUUUUCUUUCAUAUGAAAGAAAAAGAAAGCUUCGGCGGUAAAGGAGGGGCCUAUGGUCCAUCAGCUUGUUGGUGAGGUAAAAGCUCACCAAGGCUCUGACGGAUAGCGGGUGUGAGAGCAUGACCCGCCUCACUGGGACUGAGAACUGCCCAGACUCCUACGGGAGGCUGCAGUCGAGAAUCUUCCUCAAUGCGCGAAAGCGUGAAGGAGCAAUGCCGCGUGCCGGAAGAAGGCCUUCGGGUUGUAAACGGCUUUUGUAAGAGAAUAAGCUUCGGCUGAAGGUAUCUUACGAAUAAGAGGUUGCUAACUCUGUGCCAGCAGCAGCGGUAAUACAGAGACCUCAAGCGUUAUCCGGAUUUAUUGGGCGUAAAGCGUCCGCAGGUUGUUUGUCAAGUUUCUCGUUAAAUCUUGUGGCUCAACCAUAAGAGUGCGGGGAAAACUGACAAACUCGAGACUGGGAGAGGCAAGCGGAACGGCUGGUGUAGCGGUAAAAUGCGUUAAUAUCAGCCGGAACACCAAAGGCGAAGGCAGCUUGCUAGAACAGUUCUGACACUCAUGGACGAAAGCGUGGGGAGCGAAUGGGAUUAGAUACCCCAGUAGUCCACGCUGUAAACGAUGGGUACUAGCUUUUGGGAGUAUCGACCCUCCCAGAGGUGCUUAUAACCAAGCUAACGCGUUAAGUACCCCGCCUGGGGAGUACGGCCGCAAGGCUAAAACUCAAAGGAAUUGACGGGGACCCGCACAAGCGGUGGAGCGUGUGGUUUAAUUCGAUGAUAAGCGAGGAACCUUACCAGGGCUUGACAUAUAGCUGCAUAUCCCGAGAAAUCGGGAAGCCUUCGAGGGUGCUAUACAGGUGCUGCAUGGUUGUCGUCAGCUCGUGCUGUGAAGUGUACCGUUAAGUCGGAAAACGAGCGCAACCCCUAUAUUGUGUUACUUUCCACAAUAGACCGCCCUGGUUAACAGGGAGGAAGGUGGGGAUGACGUCAAAUCAGCAUGGCUCUUACGUCCUGGGCGACACACGCGCUACAAUGGGUAGUACAACGGGUUGCCAAACCGCGAGGUGGAGCUAAUCCCUUAAAACUACCCCCAGUUCGGAUUGGAGUCUGCAACUCGACUCCAUGAAGCCGGAAUCGCUAGUAAACGCGUAUCAGCCACGGCGCGUUGAAUACGUUCUCGGGUCUUGUACAAAUUAAAUGCGCCUGGCAGGCGUAUGAACUACAAGGUGAAAAUCCUUGUCCCGCACUCACUUUGGGGUAUUCCCCAAAGUGAGUGCGGAAUAGUUGCGAACAGGACAUAUCCCGUAAGGGAAUGUCUGAAGGGUUCUAUACACAAAUGACAGCCCAAACACGAUAAGGGUGUUUACGAUCAUAGCGUGUACCUAUGGGAAGUAAGCAUUAAAAACCCGUUUGGAAUGUCGGAAAUAGCUCAUACACUAACCCAGGGAGAUCCUUUUAACGUGUUAACCAAUGAUGGGUUAAAAGGAAGUCAGCUGCGUUCAUAGUAGUUUUGAGGUAUACUUUAUAAGUAUGCCAAAAACGAAGGAACAAACCUUACACAUUUCUCCUGAUUAUAUUGUUGGGUUCGUAGAUGGAGAAGGAUGUUUUUGUAUCAGUAUUGCCAAACACAAAACACUUCGCCGAAAAUCAGAAGUCCGUCUCCUCUUUGAAAUAGAAGUCAAAGAAGAUGAUCGUGCUGUGUUACAAGCGAUACAAAAAACAUUAGGAUGCGGAAAUCUCUAUAGAUUGGAGUAUCAACGAUAUGCUCAAUGGAAACCUCACGUCAAACUAAAGGUUUCAAAUAUUAAAGAUAUCGUUGAACAUAUUAUUCCAUUCUUUGACAAGCAUCCCCUACAGGCAAAAAAACGGAAAGAUUAUCUUCUUUUUCGUAAAGCCGCCUUUCUCAUCGCCGAUAAACAACAUCUUACUGAUAAUGGAUGUAAAAAAAUCCAACGCCUUAAGGAGAGUAUCAAUGUAUAAGGACUCGCUGGAUGCGCGAGAAGCGCAUGUCCAGUGGGGUGCGAAUGAAGGUUACAUAUCGCGAUCACCGCCCGUCACGUCAAGGGAGCCGGUAGUACCCGAAGACCCUGCGUUUGCAGGGGACAAGGUAAGACCGGUAACAGGGACGAAGUCGUAACAAGGCAUCCGUAGCGGAAGCUGUGGAUGGAUCACCUCCUU
rnacentral:rRNA from 1 species